CCCCCAAAACAACAGCCUUGCAGAUUAUUUUCAAGAAAAUUCAAAACCUUUUUUUAGACUCACCCUCUGCUAGGGUUUCGUCUCUGAUUUGAGAUGCCGCUCACGAGGGUCAUCGGUGCUUCUGCGCCUCCACCUCUGACACUGAACCACGGGGUAAGGCCAGGUACGUGCUAGGUGUGGACUCUAACGUGGAGGUAGAGUGGUGCACGACGCGGAGAGUCGCAUGACGUGCGGUGCCUGGGGACUGCCUCGGUUGCAAAUGAUGGCUCUUAGAGUUUUUUGAAAUCUGUUUGUGUUUUGGGCCAUUUGGGCCAUGUUUGUAAAUGGGUACUUAGGUUUAGGUCUGCUCUUGUUGGGUCUUAGUUUCUAGUGGUUUGGGCUGGGUAAAAAUUGAGUCCAACAAUGUCAUUUCAUUUUCAUUUCAAACACUUUAGCAUAUUGGCACAUCUAUUCAUUCAA